rnacentral:lncRNA from 1 species
ACACCACAGCCACAGCAACACGGGAUCCAAGCCUAGUCUGCAACCUACACCACAGGUCAGGGCAACUCCGGAUCCCCCUGAGUGAGACCAGGGAUCGAACCCAAAACCUCAUGGUUCCUAGUCGGAUUUGUUUUCGCUGGGUCCCACACCGGGAACUCCCCCAAGUGCUUUUUAAAAAAAUACCAGGCUCUUACAUACAUCGUCUGUUGCUGUGUAAAAGCAGGCCAUGAAAUUUAGCCACUUGAAACGACCAAUUUUAUUAUUUUGCAUAGUGUCCAAGGAUCAGGGAGCCCCUCUGCAGGGUAGUUGUGGCUUUGGGUUUUGUAUGAGGCUGUGGUCAAGCUGGGAACCAGGGACUUGGUCUUUGGACAUCUGCAGGAAUUCAAGCUCAUGCCUGCGCUGUGGGCAGGAGGCUCGGGUCCUCCCUUUGGGGAGGAGGAUUCAGUUCCCUGCUUCCUUCGGCCUCCCUCCCGAGUGAGGCCUCAGAACAAGAGUAAGCUCAAGACACAGCCUUAGUGUCCCUCACAGCGUCGUGUCAGACGUGCCGCCACUGCUGCCUCUCCUGCUGGCGACACAGACCGUGUCUGGUACAAUGUGAUGGGCGCCCACAGGGGCACCAGAACAAGGGGGCAGCCCCCACGCGAGGUAGUAAGAAUGGGGUUAAGAAGCCCAGUGGACCUGCCACCCACUUCUGCAGGUACCAGCUUGUGGCCCGUCUUGUUUGAUCUGUGCCCUCCUUUCUCCACAUGCAGCAAGUGUGAAGCAAACCCAGAGGCUGUCAGCCCGAGGGCCUUCCACACCCUCUCUCGUGGCAUUUUGGCAGCUGCACUCCGCGAGCAAGUGCUCCAAGAGGCCUUCUGAGGCUCCUUGCUCCCAAGCCCAAGUUCAGCCAGGCCAGGUUCAAGGGCAGAGUUUGCCACAGAGCCCAAGCGUGAGAGCGGGUGAGAGUCUCAGGGGUGGAGACAGGUGAAGGUGUAGCCAACACACAAUUCCACAGCAGGGAAGGAGGUUACGAACCGCUCCACUCUGGCCACAGGUCUCCAGACAAGCGUGAGCAGGAAGCUGCCUUCUCUGUGACAGGGACUCACGCCGUCUGGAACAGCGGGAGCAGCUCCCAGCAGCGCAGUCAGGUCCCGUAGCAAAGGCUUUGAGGCGCUCGGCUCAGAGGUCUCUAAGGAGUCACAGUUACUCUCAGGGAGGGCGUCUACCAGUUGUUCCUUCUCUUCCAGUGGCACAUUGUCCAUCAAACUUCUCAUCUAGGAGCUCCCGUUGUGGCUCUGGGUUAAGAACCUGACACAGGCCUGGCCUGGCUCCAGGCUGUGGCCUAGGUCCCAGAUGGAGCUCUGAUACCCUGUGGCUGUGGUGUAAGCUGGCAGCUGCAGCUCCGAUUCGACCCCUAGCCUGGGAACCUCCAUAUGCUGCAGCUGCAGCCCUGGGGAAAAAAAAAAAAAUCACACCAUAACAGAGACUCACCUCUUAAUCAGAAGGGAAGCCAAGGACUGUGGCCUCUCCUCUCCUUUUAAAACACACCCCCUGCCUCCUAGCAACCUCAAGGGCCUCUUCCUGUGCAGGGCCUGGGUGCGGGGAGGCUGAGGGUGUGGCUUCUCUUUGAAAAUUAGGCUAAGGACCCAGAAGACCUGCUCCUGAGCACCAGGCAGACGCCUCACGCUCUGAUGUUGGGAACGUGGGACCAUAAGGCGAGUUUGUUUCACGUCAAGUUUUGGAGUCAUUUACAGACCCGACCAAGGAAAUUAACAAGUUCAGGAGCCAUUAACAAAUGGCUCAGUGGGUUGGGGAUCCAGCAUUCUCACUGCUGUGGUGAGGGUUCAAGCCUUGGCCUAGGCGCUUCCAUGCAGUGGGUGUGGCCAAAAAAAGAAAAUGAGUUUUUAAACAUCAUUCAAGAUCUGACCAAUAUUUUCCUUGACUGUUCUGAGCUGAGUUUCACACCUGGCGUUAGUUGCAGCAGCAUCUCCGUCGACAGGAUCGGUCUCCCUGCUCUGCACAGCGUCCUGUGGAAGGACCAGGUCACUGGUCCUGAAGAGUCUCCGGGACCAGCUGGCAACACCACACCAGUGCUGACACCUGCCCUUGAUCUUUUCUGCAGCGUCACUAAGGGAUCCUUUACACAAUCCACCCACUGAAAGUGUACAAUUCAACGAUUUCCUCGCCAAUCUGUGGACGUGCCUAAUGAUCACUCCAAUAACGUCCCCUUGAGAUGCCUGUGGUCGGUGCCCACUCCAGCCUCCCCGCCGUACCCCAGACCCUGGCAACCCCGUCCCGCUUUCCGCAUCUGUACAUCCUCCUUCCUGGACGUUCGUUUUGCGUCCGUGGACUCACACCACCUAGAGGAUCUUGCAUCUGCGAGCUCACCUGACGGUCUGGGUUCCAUCUAGAGCGUCCUGGUUUUUGUGUAAGUACAAUGGCCCAUUUUGCUGUAUUCACUUGCUGGUUGAUGGACUUUGGGUUCCUUUUUGCUGUCAGAACAUCUGCACUUUGCUGGCCUGAAGGCAUGUUCCUUUGUCCUGGGUUCACUCCCGAGAGGAGUGGAAUUCCCCACUUUGCAGGCGGAUGGACCAUCUUGCAAUCCAGAGAAGGUUCUAACUGGGCACACCCUUGCCAACACUUGGCAUUGUCUUUUUGACCGAAGCUGUCCGAGUGGGUGUGACAUGCUGCCUCAAUGCUGAUUUCAUUUCCCUGAUGAAGAGUCUCUUAUGGUAGAACAUCUAUUCAAGUUUUUUGUCCAUUUUUGUUAUUAUUGUUUGGCUUUUUAGGGCCGCACCCACAGCACAUGAAGGUUCCCAGGCUAGGGGUCAAACAGGAACUACAGCUGCCAGGUUAUGCCACAGCAACGCCUGAUCCGAGCCGCAGCUGUGACCUACACCACAGCUCAUGGCAACGCCGGAUCCUCAACCCACUGAGCCAGGACAGGGAUUGAACCUGCAUCCUCAGGGAUGCUAGUUGGGUUUGCUAAACCGCUGAGCUGCUGAGCUCACAGCUUUUUAAAUGUAUACAGCUAGCUCAUUACAGAAGUGAACACAGGUUUAUGUGCAUGACUUAGUAUAUGUACUUUCCAGCUCUGUCUGGGAAGGGCCCCGAAGCAGUAACAGCCCUGGAGCAAUGAGCACACCCACGGGCGAGAUCUUGGUGGCUACAUACCAGUCUCCGUGAAAGGAGCCUGGAGCCUCUGGCGGUGCCAGAGUCCCGAAAUGCUUAAAAAAAGGACACAGCAGGUCAAAAGGGGACAGACAGGAGGAACCUUAACAGU